UACGAAGGGGGCUAGCGUUGCUCGGAAUCACUGGGCGUAAAGCGCACGUAGGCGGCUUUCUAAGUCAGGGGUGAAAUCCUGGAGCUCAACUCCAGAACUGCCUUUGAUACUGGAGAGCUUGAGUCCGGAAGAGGAGAGUGGAAUUCCUGGUGUAGCGGUGAAAUGCGCAGAUAUCAGGAAGAACACCCGUGGCGAAGGCAGCUCUCUGGGACGGUACUGACACUGAGACGCGAAAGCGUGGGGAGCGAACAGG
rnacentral:rRNA from 1 species